CGUCGCUGAGCGCCGGCCGCUUAAAUAGCUGCUGGCUGGCGGUAGGGCCGAGGCCAGGCUGGUUGGACCCUGGAGUAUCUAUGAAGUUUGUGGAGUUCUGUCAUUUUCUUUGCUGACUCUAGUAAUUGGACAGCAUAGCCAGCAUGUGACUAAAGAGCUCGCAGAAGCUGCGCGACGAGACCUGCACGGCCGCGCAGAGCUCCAGCCUCUUUCAUAUUUCACGAUGUGUGUCUCACUGCGAAACGAUUUCCUACAAUAAUAUGAAGCAUGAAGCAGAGAACAUUAGAAACUCCAACUUCUAACAUCCAAGCCGUGGCCAGCUUGAAAUACCAGCACGCAAAACUUUAUCUGUCCUCAGUUAUAAAACAACAAUAAAGAUAUCUAUUUGCUGGUGCUGGAUUCAUUUCUCAGUGCAAGAGAUAAGUACAAAGCAAAGGGAAGGUAUUCAUAGACCAGCAUGACUAAAUACUCGAGAGAAAAAAAUAGAUUCCCUCUUCCCCCUGAAAGACACAUGAAACUGGGCCUCUCAGUCACGUUCACUUGUACUGAGCGUCUGCUAUGUUCAAAACUGGAUCAGUGAGUUAUUCAUUCAUUUAUUCAACAAGGACUUACUGAACACCUACAAUGGGAUAGGCAUUUUUCGAGACAAUAGAUAUAGAACGAUGAAUAAAUAAGACAAAAAAGAUCCCUGCAC